UACGGAGGAUCCAAGCGUUAUCCGGAUCCAUUGGGUUUAAAGGGUGCGUAGGCGGCCUAUUAAGUCAGGGGUGGAAGACGGUAGCUUAACUAUCGCAGUGCCUUUGAUACUGAUGGGCUUGAAUAUACUAGAAGUAGGCGGAAUGUGACAAGUAGCGGUGAAAUGCAUAGAUAUGUCACAGAACACCGAUUGCGAAGGCAGCUUACUAUGGUAUGAUUGACACUGAGGCACGAAAGCGUGGGGAUCAAACAGG
rnacentral:rRNA from 1 species